GACGUAGGAGGCGAGCGUUAUCCGGAUUCACUGGGCGUAAAGCGCAUGUAGGCGGUUGUCCAAGUCCGAUGUUAAAGCCCCCGGCUCAACUGGGGGAGGUCAUUGGAGACUGUGCGACUGGAGGGCAACAGAGGCACGUGGAACUCCCGGUGUAGCGGUGGAAUGCGUAGAGAUCGGGAAGAACACCAGUGGCGAAGGCGACGUGCUGGGUUGCACCUGACGCUGAGAUGCGAAAGUGUGGGGAGCAAACGGG
rnacentral:rRNA from 1 species